CUUAAGCAACCACGCAAGGAACCACAGAGUUGCCUGCUUGAGAGACGUCCCCGUGGGUGUUCCACAGCUGGUGACUGCAAAGCAAUGUAUCCUAAGGAUGAUGGGACUUCAGAUCUGGCAGGGAAAGGAUCUUGGAUGAGACCAAUUAAAGGAAGAACAAUGAGAAACAGGUGACAAUGAACUACUUAUCUACAUAGAACAAUGCUGAGUGAAGAGCACUGCCGAGCUCUGUCCUAAGCCAGGGACGAUGAGACGGUACUGAGGGGAGGGUGACUGCUCAUACGCAGUUGCACCAUGCAGUGCUCAUGCACCCUGCUUCCCGCACAGGUGCGGCCCCUUAGACACUUCUGCGAAGUAUCUGGUCUGCUGCACUGGAAUGCACUGACAUCUGCUGUGGAGCACCUACAGCGACGUCUCUCUCGAAGAACUAGAUGUUCUGUUUUAUGAAAAGGGUGGAGACAAGUUUUUAAGAAAAAAGUGUGCCUUUAUUUACAUAGACCGUCUACUGGCUUUUCCAAGAGUACAUUGGGCUCAGAGUGUUUACAUUUCCCUGAGGCACCAAAUUUGACACCCAUGUCA